GUGCUCCCCCACCAACCGGACCUGGAUCAGCCCCACCCCUGUGUGACGGAUUUGACCGCGGGCGGGGCCCACCGGCGUCAGGGCCUUUGCUGCCCGUAGGUGCCGCCGGGUCACGACGCCGAGAGGCGGAGGGCCCGGCCCGCCACGUCGGCGCAGUCCGCGGCGGGGCGGGGGUGGGGAGCCGGGCCACGUGCGGCGGGACCCCGCUCGCGGAUGUUCGUCUCGCGCGCUUACGCCAGGGGCAGGGCGCACCGUGCGGGAGAGACAGGGACGAGAGAGCGGCAGCGGCGCACAAGAGCAGAGCGGCGACAGGAAGGAUCCGUUGAUCGGAAAUGCCUUCGACCCGCUGCCUCUACCAAGUGGUGUUCCAGUGCCUUUGUGUUUUUGCGGUGAUCCGCAAGGUUCCCAAGUUCGAGGAAGAUGACAUGUAUAGGCAGAGGUAUUGGGCGUGUGACAACUAUGCUUAUUAGCUGACGAUUGCUCGACGCGACAUUAACUUGAUGGUGAGAAUUUUAUGGUGUAACAUUUAUCUUGUUUCAUAUGAACCAAUGCAUGAUUUAUUUGGCUCAUACCAUUUGCAUGCUCUCUAGACUUCUCCACUGCUCUUUGAUUUUAAGCAGUGGAUUGACACAGAGAUAUCACAGAAAGACAAGGAGUGGAUGGAGAAGCUGGAAGUGCGAUGCAGAGGACAAGGAAAGGAUGGAGAAAAAAACAAGAGGAGCUUGCGACGGAGCAACAAUGGGCAGAAGAGGAGAAAAUGAGGCGUGUUGACACAGGGAGAAGGAGAAGAAGCUUAAGCAUGCAUGCCGUACGAAGGAAGCAAAGGAGGAGAACCCCGAUGCUUUUAGGAAGGAAAAGUGACCUCAUUGCACUCAGUAGACUCGGGGGUUCUACAUUGUUUAAGUCUCAAACAAUGUUAUAUACUAAUGCACUUUUCAUUGUCCUUUAAUUAAUGGACUCGAUUUUGUGGUU